CUUCUUUUUCCACCGGAGCUUGCUCCACCGGAAAAAGAAGAGUGGCGAACGGGUGAGUAACACGUGGGUAACCUGCCCAUCAGAAGGGGAUAACACUUGGAAACAGGUGCUAAUACCGUAUAACAAUCGAAACCGCAUGGUUUUGAUUUGAAAGGCGCUUUCGGGUGUCGCUGAUGGAUGGACCCGCGGUGCAUUAGCUAGUUGGUGAGGUAACGGCUCACCAAGGCCACGAUGCAUAGCCGACCUGAGAGGGUGAUCGGCCACAUUGGGACUGAGACACGGCCCAAACUCCUACGGGAGGCAGCAGUAGGGAAUCUUCGGCAAUGGACGAAAGUCUGACCGAGCAACGCCGCGUGAGUGAAGAAGGUUUUCGGAUCGUAAAACUCUGUUGUUAGAGAAGAACAAGGAUGAGAGUAACUGUUCAUCCCUUGACGGUAUCUAACCAGAAAGCCACGGCUAACUACGUGCCAGCAGCCGCGGUAAUACGUAGGUGGCAAGCGUUGUCCGGAUUUAUUGGGCGUAAAGCGAGCGCAGGCGGUUUCUUAAGUCUGAUGUGAAAGCCCCCGGCUCAACCGGGGAGGGUCAUUGGAAACUGGGAGACUUGAGUGCAGAAGAGGAGAGUGGAAUUCCAUGUGUAGCGGUGAAAUGCGUAGAUAUAUGGAGGAACACCAGUGGCGAAGGCGGCUCUCUGGUCUGUAACUGACGCUGAGGCUCGAAAGCGUGGGGAGCAAACAGGAUUAGAUACCCUGGUAGUCCACGCCGUAAACGAUGAGUGCUAAGUGUUGGAGGGUUUCCGCCCUUCAGUGCUGCAGCUAACGCAUUAAGCACUCCGCCUGGGGAGUACGACCGCAAGGUUGAAACUCAAAGGAAUUGACGGGGGCCCGCACAAGCGGUGGAGCAUGUGGUUUAAUUCGAAGCAACGCGAAGAACCUUACCAGGUCUUGACAUCCUUUGACCACUCUAGAGAUAGAGCUUCCCCUUCGGGGGCAAAGUGACAGGUGGUGCAUGGUUGUCGUCAGCUCGUGUCGUGAGAUGUUGGGUUAAGUCCCGCAACGAGCGCAACCCUUAUUGUUAGUUGCCAUCAUUUAGUUGGGCACUCUAGCAAGACUGCCGGUGACAAACCGGAGGAAGGUGGGGAUGACGUCAAAUCAUCAUGCCCCUUAUGACCUGGGCUACACACGUGCUACAAUGGGAAGUACAACGAGUCGCGAAGUCGCGAGGCUAAGCUAAUCUCUUAAAGCUUCUCUCAGUUCGGAUUGUAGGCUGCAACUCGCCUACAUGAAGCCGGAAUCGCUAGUAAUCGCGGAUCAGCACGCCGCGGUGAAUACGUUCCCGGGCCUUGUACACACCGCCCGUCACACCACGAGAGUUUGUAACACCCGAAGUCGGUGAGGUAACCUUUGGAGCCAGC
rnacentral:rRNA from 1 species